rfam:Candidatus Methanoperedens sp. DS-2015 MPEBLZ_contig000104, whole genome shotgun sequence.
GCCGUCGUGGCUUAGCUCGGUAAAGCGGCUGAUUCGUAAUCAGCAGAUCAAGGGUUCAAAUCCCUUCGACGGCU